rnacentral:misc_RNA from 1 species
UCCUGGUUAACCCAGGCAGUCUCAUUAGAGUGCCCACCAUAACGUGAUGGCAACUAAUGACAAGGGUUGCGCUCGUUGCGGGACUUAACCCAACACCUCACGGCACGAGCUGACGACAGCCAUGCAGCACCUGUGUAGCAGUCCUUGCGGAAGAGUGCAUUUCUGCACUUGUCCACUACAUGUCAAGUCUAGGUAAGGUUCUUCGCGUACCAUCGAAUUAAACCACAUGCUCCACCGCUUGUGCGAGCCCCCGUCAAUUCUUUUGAGUUUCACCCUUGCGAGUGUACUUCCCAGGCGGUAUACUUAUCGCGUUAGCUACGAUACAGACCGGGUUGAGCCGAUCUACAUCAAGUAUACAUCGUUUACGGUGUAGACUAC